CGUGGCGGCCCUGACACAUGUCGAGCGGCGUGCAGCCAACCCACGGACGAGCACGAGUCGCUCCUGCAUAAUUUGAAGUCAUCCAUGGCAGUGCUUUGAGAAUCCUUCCCCGCGUUCCCCAUGACUUGAACGGAGCAUCGCUCAGCGCCGUGAUGGCUCUAUUCAUACUCAGACAGAAGCCCUGCUGGCCUGAGGGUCACAUGAGGACCUCUCCAUGACCCCUGACCACAGUUUGAACCAAGACCCUACAGUUCAUCCAUAUCUGCGGCUGUAGAGAAGGUCACUGCAGAGUUCAAAGACAUAACACGCAGAAUGAGUUGAGUUUUCUCCUGCUCUCCACAGCUGCGCGGCCGUCUACGCAGCGGGCUUCUCUCUCUCUCUCCCUCAUGUGCGCUCAAAAGGUCAAGUAACGAGGGAGAAGAAGUGAAGGAGAAGUAACACGCAACAGCUGAGUGUGUGGGGAACGGGAGAUGAGUGACAGCAUGUUUGCCACUGCAUAAUGAGUGCUGCUCUUUCUGUACUCCGCAACUGCCUCCAUGCCCCCAGGUGCGCUCGGGCCCAGUGACGCUUCACCUUAACUCCAGUCAGACAGCACAUCAGAAGUUCUUCAGUGAGGUGUGGCCGUCCAGAGAUGCCACUUAGUGUUGGCAUCCCCCUGGGGAUGCCUGGAUGUCUUUUCCAAUCAUUUGUAGUGAGUAAAUGAGACGCAGAGCUGACAAUGUGUGAGUUUAUGUGCCCUGUUCUGACACGAGGGUAAAUCGCCAAUGUCUACUGCUGCUCGCUUAAAACGUUGGAUACAUU
rnacentral:lncRNA from 12 species